rnacentral:rRNA from 1 species
AAUACGUUCCCGGGCCUUGUACACACCGCCCGUCACACCAUGGAAGUUGGUUAUAUCCAAAACUAUUUUCUUAACCUUAUUGGAAAGAAAUAAUUAAGGUAGAAUUAGUAACUAGGGUG